rnacentral:rRNA from 1 species
AUUGAACGCUGGCGGAAUGCUUUACACAUGCAAGUCGAACGGCAGCACGGGAGCUUGCUCCUGGUGGCGAGUGGCGAACGGGUGAGUAAUAUAUCGGAACGUAUCCAAUAAUGGGGGAUAACUAGUCGAAAGAUUAGCUAAUACCGCAUACGCCCUGAGGGGGAAAGCUGGGGAUCUUCGGACCUGGCGUUAAUGGAGCGGCCGAUAGCUGAUUAGCUAGUAGGUGAGGUAAAAGCUCACCUAGGCGACGAUCAGUAGCUGGUCUGAGAGGACCACCAGCCACACUGGAACUGAGACACGGUCCAGACUCCUACGGGAGGCAGAAGUGGGGAAGUUUGGACAAUGGGCGCAAGCCUGAUCCAGCCAUUCCGCGUGAGUGAAGAAGGCCUUCGGGUUGUAAAGCUCUUUCGCAAGGGAAGAAAACUUAUCCUCUAACAUAGGAUGAGGUCGACGGUACCUUGAUAAGAAGCACCGGCUAACUACGUGCCAGCCGCCGCAGUAA